ensembl:lncRNA
UUCACUUAUCUGAUCACUGGAGCAAAGAUUCAAGAGGAAAUUCAUCUGCUGCACAUAAAUGACCAUCAAGUAUGCAGAUCCAUUUGUCCACCAGCUGAAAGCACUGUACAACAACAGAAUGGAAGUUCUAGGUCAAAGAAAUGCACUGCAAAGUCACUCCAGAGAAAAACAUCUGCUCCAGGUAAAGAUACACAGUAAUAAUUCCAGAUCCUCACAGUCUGCUGGACAAAGUUACUUGCUAGACUGCCACAGAUAUUCCUAUCUUGAACCUAACAGUUUCUCCAAUGGCAAUUUUAUUCUACUCUAAGUUAAUAUUCUACAAAAAGCCUAUUCUUACACUUCCUCCUAGGUCAUGCUGCUCCUAGGUCAAGAACCAACAUGAGAGCUAUUCGUCAGUCACUACUUUUUUCAUAUAUUGAAGUUUGUUAUCACUUUAGAGAUACAUAGGUGGGAUAAAAAUGGUCCUGAUAUGAGUGAAAACUAUGAGGUCAAUGCAGCAAGCAAGAAAAUUCAACAUCUGUACUUACUGUGCUUACAUUGUCAUUUCUGAGGAUGAUACAACUUUCAACAAAGCAGGCAAUGGAGACACAGUGGGGCAUUUGAAUGGGGUCACCCCAGAGUGUCUGGAGUGCAUACAUGCUUAUGUGCAUAUGUAUGUGUUGUGGGGAAAGGGAAGGAGUUAGAUAAAACACUCGUAAGUAAUACAGGCAGCUACAACAAUUUCUGCAGAACUCAGAUCAGGUGAAUUUCACCUCCUUUAUCUGAACAUAUGCACACCACUAUUAAUUUUCUUAUUAGUCCUCCAACUUGUUCAUGUUCUCUUUGACAUUUACCAUUUUGUCUGUAUGCAGACAAGACUCAUAAAAUGUGCAUUUAUAGACUCUGAAUAGCUGAGUGCAUUUCUUUGCUAUGCAGCUUUCCCUCUAAUGUAUACAAUUGCAGGGAACUAAUUUUUUUUUUUUAAAAAAAAAGGUAAUAAAGAUGUAAAAUGCCUGAGAUCACCAUCUGAGAACAUUGCUUUUUUGUGACAGUCAUCCAAAGGCUACACCAUAUGCACAGAUUACUAGAAAAAAAUAAUUGUCCUGUUCCAUGUGAUUCCUUUUGCUUUUAUUGAUUCCUCUCUUCAGAGUACUUGUCAGUGGUGAGAAAACCAUAGGUUAUCGCUAAAGUCUUUU